rnacentral:rRNA from 1 species
UACGUAGGGACCGAGCGUUGUCCGGAUUCAUUGGGCGUAAAGAGCUCGUAGGCGGCUGUUCAAGUCGAACGUGAAAACUCGGAGCUCAACUCCGAGCCUGCGUUCGAUACUGGACGGCUAGAGUCUGGUAGGGGGAUCUGGAAUUCCUGGUGUAGCGGUGGAAUGCGCAGAUAUCAGGAGGAACACCGAUGGCGAAGGCAGGUCACUGGGCCGCAACUGACGCUGAGGAGCGAAAGCAUGGGGAGCGAACAGG